rnacentral:rRNA from 1 species
UGAAUACGAGAUGCUACGGCGUUGAAGCAGUGUAUGUCAGACUUCCAAGAAAAGCUCGCAAUGUCAUAAAUAAAGAAUGCCUGUACCAUAACCGACACAGGUGGGUAGGUAGAGUAUACUAAGGGGCGCGAGAUAACUCUCUCUGAGGAACUCGGCAAAAUAACUCCGUAACUUCGGGAGAAGGGGUGCCUUCUUUAAGAAGGUUGCAAUAACAAGAUCCAAGCAACUGUUUAUCAAAAACACAGGUCUCCGCUAAGUCGUAAGACGAUGUAUGGGGGCUGACGCCUGCCCAGUGCCAGAAGGUUAAAGAAAUUGGUUAGCAUUUGCGAAGCUGAUGACUGAAGCCCUGGUGAACGGCGGCCGUAACAGUAACGGUCCUAAGGUAGCGAAAUUCCUUGUCGGGUAAGUUCCGACCCGCACGAAAGGCGUAAUGAUUUGGAUACUGUCUCAGAGAGGGACUCGGUGAAAUAGACUUGUCUGUGAAGAUGCGGACUACCUGCACCAGGACAGAAAGACCCUAUGAAGCUUUACUGUAACUUGAAAUUGAAAUUGGACUUUAUUUGCGCAGCAUAGGUGGAAGGCGUUGUGACUAAUCUUGCGGGAUUGGUGGAGCCAUCAGUGAGAUACCACUCCUAUAAUGUUAGAUUUCUAACUUUGAAUCAUGAUCUGGUCAAAGAACAGUUUCAGGCGGGCAGUUUGACUGGGGCGGUCGCCUCCCAAAUGGUAACGGAGGCGUACAAAGGUUUCCUCUGAACGGGUAGAAAUCGUAUCUAGAGUGUAAAGGCAUAAGGAAGCUUGACUGUGAGACCUACAAGUCGAGCAGGGACGAAAGUCGGUCUUAGUGAUCUGACGGUGCUGAGUGGAAAGGCCGUCACUCAACGGAUAAAAGUUACUCUAGGAUAACAGGCUGAUCUCCCCCAAAGUUCACAUCGACGGGGAGGUUUGGCACCUUGAUGUCGGCUCAUCGCAUCCUGGGGCGGUAGUACGUCCCAAGGGUUGGGCUGUUCGCCCAUGAAAGCGGUACGCGAGCUGGGUUCAGAACGUCGUGAGACAGUUCGGUCCAUAUCCGGUGUAGGCGUUAGAAUAUUGAGAGGAGCCUUCUUUAGUACGAGAGGACCGAGAAGGACAUACCUCUGGUGUACCAGUUAUCGUGCCAACGGUAAACGCUGGGUAGCUAUGUAUGGAGAGGAUAACCGCUGAAAGCAUCUAAGUGGGAAGCCCACCUCAAGAUGAGUAUUCUCAUC